rnacentral:rRNA from 1 species
UACGUAGGGGCCAAGCGUUGUCCGGAAUCAUUGGGCGUAAAGCGCGUGUAGGCGGCUCGGUAAGUCUGCUGUGAAAGUCCAGGGCUCAACCCUGGGAUGCCGGUGGAUACUGUCGAGCUCGAGUCCGGAAGAGGCGAGUGGAAUUCCUGGUGUAGCGGUGAAAUGCGCAGAUAUCAGGAGGAACACCAAUGGCGAAGGCAGCUCGCUGGGACGUGACUGACGCUGAGACGCGAAAGCGUGGGGAUCAAACAGG